AGGCUCCGCCCCCAUUCCCAUCCCCCCAUCCCCCAAGCCCUUCUUUAGUCAACUGAGGACCCAGGCAGGGAACGGUGGAGAAUCAAGGAGAAGGAGGCGGCCUCUGCCCCAUUUCAUCGCUAAGCUGGCAAACCAGCCUCCCCAGUGGGGUUGGGCAGUGGAGCUCGUCACAUCCCCGCGGCUAAGGUCAUUCACACAUUCACGGAGCCCUUCCCUCACAGUCAAUGGGGGUGGAACCAUCCAAAACAAUGGUGUUUACUUCUUUUCUUUCCAUUAAGUUUCCCGUUUCCUAUUAAGUUUCAGGCGGUAAAGUCCAGAGGUCAAAAGCAUUCAAUGCCCAUCUCCGGAAGGAAGGGGGGAGUCUGGAGAUUCUCCUCUGGCCCGAGACCGACCGAGGGGCUUGUUUGGGGCUUAAUGGUCCAAAUGGGUCUUGUAUUCUAAUAGGAAAUGACUGGAUACGCUUUAAAUGCACUCCCUUUCCCCUUCGGAGAGGAGAAAACCGAAAUGGACCCGCAGCUAAAGAUCCUCACCACACCGGAAGGCCAGCAGAAUAGAAUGUUCCCAUUUUACAGAUGAGGAAACUUUGUCUCAAUGACUGCUCCUUGGUCACAGUCCAGUGAAGGGUGAAAUGAACAAGAACUUAUUAAAAGUCUCCUAGGGACUGGACCCUAUGCCAAGCACUUCAUGACAUCCGCACAACACAACCUGGGAGGGUGACAGGAAGAAUAAAAGAGAAGAAUGCACAGGAAAGUGCUUUAUAAAAACAUUUCUACUUCCUAACUUUCUUUGCUGAGGGGAUGGACUAUAGAUGUGGAAUAUUCCCUGUGCUUUGAGAAACAAUUACUCAUUUUACAUAUGAGGAAAAUAAGGAAAACAAGGUCAAGAGACUUGCCCAGGGUCAUACAACUAGCAAGUGGCUGAGGUCAGAUUUGAACUCAGGAAGAUGAGUUUUCAGGACUCCAAGGCUGGUUCUCUAUCCAUUUCACUGCCAAGCUACCUUCCUCCACAGACUACCUCCUGACAAGUAGUCAUUCAGUUUGUUUUUCUGCCCCAAGACCUCCAAUGAGGGGGAGCCCAUCACUUCCCUGGUCAACCCACUCUAUUUUUUCCAUUUCUUUUCCAAAACAGCCCAAGUCUGCGCCUCUGCAACUUCUACCGGCUGCCUGUGGUGCCCAGUUCUGGGGCAGUGAAAGGGAUGGGGAAGGGGAGGGAGGUCUGGAUACAAGCAGAAAAGGUUAUUGUCUUCAAAUGCUGGAAGGCGCUCUUCUAUCCUUCUACCCCUCUUCACCUUCUCCAGACUAAACAGUCUCUGGUUCCUUCCACAGAUCCAUCCUCAGGGCCUUCUUCUCCAUCCUGGUUGCCCUCUCCGGGCGAUUUUUCCAGUUUGUGCAUCCAUUUCCUUGUAUAAAGUACCCACCCAGCUUUCUGCCUGAGCGUUAGAAAUGGAGAUUUCACGUUAUUUGGGACGUCUUGGACCUCUCCUUCCCAGUCCAAUCAUUUUUGCUCGCUGCCUGGGGUUCCUUACCAAUCUGGACAGCUCUGGGGUGGGGGAGGGGGCGGAUACUCCCCACCCCCACUCCUUCCCCGAGGUCCUGGGGUCUGGCAUCUGUUGAGGGUGGAAAUGGGGCAACAGGUGAAUAGGGGCAGGGGGCGUGUUCUGUUUGGGGAGGGCGGCGGGCCCGGCGGCUGGGGGAGCGCUGAGUCAGCAGAGGGAAAAGUGCGGACCGGGGCAGGGCGGGCCCCAAGUCCUCACAUGCUCCAACGCCGGGAAUGUUAAUCAGAACCACGUUGUCCCUGCCCCCACCCCAGCCUUGUUUGGGUGGCUUCCUGCCUGCGUUUUCUGCCCUUUUUGCAUCUCCGGGCAGGACCCGGGCGGACCCUGGAAGGCUGUUUUUGUUUGCUUGUUUGUUUUUAGUGAAGGAAAGGAAAACCCUUUCCAAAGGCACAGCCCUGGAGUGCUGGCAGGGCGGGGAGAGGAACCUGGCACAAAGGAAGGCAGGCUCUCUGAGAGUCAUCCUGGCACUCGGGACAGGUCUAGGCAAAGCCUGAUCACCCCACUGGUUCGAUUUCUGUUGGGGAAGGCGCCCUGUGCCCACAGAGCCAAGGCAGGGGAGACCAGAUCGCGGCCUUCCUUCCGAAGGCAUCCCCUCCCCACCUCAGGUGGUUCCGGUCUGUCUGCUAUGGGGCCUGGGUUCCUUGAGCAGGUUUGUGCGCUGGGAUGAUGGGGUCGGGCUCAGGAGAGGUGACCCCUGCCGUGUCAGCCUCCAUAACCGCGCUCCACCCCAUCCUGAGCAUCUUGAGCAAGUUACCACCUCCAGGGGCCUUAGUCUCCCCAUCUGUCAAAAGAGGCCCUUUCCGGCUCUAAAUUCGAGGUAUGCACUGGAGAGGACUUCUGUAAUUAGCCAGCCUCCUGGGUGCGUGAUAGAGGCACAGAGAAGAGGGUGUUGAUUCUUGUCCCUGCGUGUCCCCGCAGAGAAGGGGGGAGGGAGAAAAGUGAAUGUGUGCCAUCUCCUCCAGUCUUAGAAUUCCGAGAUCAAAGAUCUCGGGUCGGGUUUGUCUACGUGUGUUUCUGGGUGGGUGAAGACGUGUGCUUUGUCGAUGUGUCAGAGUGAGUGAGUGGUUAAGGGAGGGAGGGCAUCGACAACCUAGCGAUUGGCUGACCCCAAAGGGAAGGGGCAGGCUGGUGCCGGGGACUCCUCCCAUAAGCCAGUGAAGUCCUCUCGAUCUAUCCCUGGCGUUGGACAAUCCCUAGGAAUGGGGGGGAGGGGGAAGCAGGAACCGGGAGUCCGUCCUUCUGUCCUUCCAUCAUCCUGUCUGGCCCUCUCCCAUCCCCCUCACCACCCCCCCGCCCGGAGCCACGUGGUAGGAUGGGGGGGGUGCCCUAAAGACCCACACUCAGCAUCCUCCUUUCAAUUCUGCUCAACAGCUGGGGGGCCCCUCCCCGCUCAGCCCUCUCCGCAGCUCCCUCCCUGGUCCCUGUCCUCCCUCCCCGCCCCCAGCCGGGGCCCCCGGGAGAGAGAAAGAUAGAGGCCCCUCAUUGUUUUCCACUGAGAGCCACAGAAAGGCCGAUGGGGCCAGUGCCUCAGUCCCCAGGGCUCGGCACAUCUGUCUCCGCCACGUGACUGGGCCCUGGAGCCGGCCAGCAGGAUGACCUCAUUGCCACCGGCCCACCCCGCCCCCACCCCUGCUCGGCGCCGGCAGAAGUGCGGACCAGAAGGGGGGAGGGAGGAGGAGAGGCGUGGAGCGUUUAUUAACCAUCAUGUGCCAGGAACUGUGCUGAGCGCGCACGGCGGUGGGUGGAUUUCUUGGAAAAUCCCAAAUGAUUUAAUUUUGAAGUGGGGCUGCCGGGAAUCACUCCAGAAGCUCCUGGCUCCCUUCUGGAACCAUUAUACUCGCCCUCUCCCAUCCUGGGUCCCACGUUCCGCCAGAAAUCCACCCCCUUAUUUCAUGAGGUAAAAAACAAGGAGCCCCAGGAAGUGAAAUGACUUACCCACGAUCACCUAGGGGAUGAGCCGAAACCAAGUCCAGUGACCCCAGAUCCAAGGGUCCUUUUGUGCUACGUAUGGAGGCUCGGCACGGGGUCCCCCCUCGAUCCCGCAAACACACGGAGCCUCGGGAAGCCUCCCCCAUCCUCCCCAGAGGAAAGGCUGAACUCUUUCCUCAGGGUAGCUGAAUGCAAUGAACGCCUGGCGUACUUUUAACUGUUUCUCUUGUGACCCCAGCUGAGUUAGUGUUAGUUUUAUUUUCGUUAUUAUUAAUAAAUCUUAUAAUACUUGA